rnacentral:rRNA from 1 species
GUUGGCGGCAGGCCUAACACAUGCAAGUCGAGCGGUAGCACAGAGAGCUUGCUCUCGGGUGACGAGCGGCGGACGGGUGAGUAAUGUCUGGGAAACUGCCUGAUGGAGGGGGAUAACUACUGGAAACGGUAGCUAAUACCGCAUAAUGUCGCAAGACCAAAGUGGGGGACCUUCGGGCCUCAUGCCAUCAGAUGUGCCCAGAUGGGAUUAGCUAGUAGGUGGGGUAACGGCUCACCUAGGCGACGAUCCCUAGCUGGUCUGAGAGGAUGACCAGCCACACUGGAACUGAGACACGGUCCAGACUCCUACGGGAGGCAGCAGUGGGGAAUAUUGCACAAUGGGCGCAAGCCUGAUGCAGCCAUGCCGCGUGUGUGGAGAAGGCCUUCGGGUUGUAAAGCACUUUCAGCGGGGAGGAAGGCGGUGAGGUUAAUAACCUCAUCGAUUGACGUUACCCGCAGAAGAAGCACCGGCUAACUCCGUGCCAGCAGCCGCGGUAAUACGGAGGGUGCAAGCGUUAAUCGGAAUUACUGGGCGUAAAGCGCACGCAGGCGGUCUGUCAAGUCGGAUGUGAAAUCCCCGGGCUUAACCUGGGAACUGCAUUCGAAACUGGCAGGCUAGAGUCUUGUAGAGGGGGGUAGAAUUCCAGGUGUAGCGGUGAAAUGCGUAGAGAUCUGGAGGAAUACCGGUGGCGAAGGCGGCCCCCUGGACAAAGACUGACGCUCAGGUGCGAAAGCGUGGGGAGCAAACAGGAUUAGAUACCCUGGUAGUCCACGCCGUAAACGAUGUCGAUUUGGAGGUUGUGCCCUUGAGGCGUGGCUUCCGGAGCUAACGCGUUAAAUCGACCGCCUGGGGAGUACGGCCGCAAGGUUAAAACUCAAAUGAAUUGACGGGGGCCCGCACAAGCGGUGGAGCAUGUGGUUUAAUUCGAUGCAACGCGAAGAACCUUACCUGGUCUUGACAUCCACAGAACUUUCCAGAGAUGGAUUGGUGCCUUCGGGAACUGUGAGACAGGUGCUGCAUGGCUGUCGUCAGCUCGUGUUGUGAAAUGUUGGGUUAAGUCCCGCAACGAGCGCAACCCUUAUCCUUUGUUGCCAGCGGUUAGGCCGGGAACUCAAAGGAGACUGCCAGUGAUAAACUGGAGGAAGGUGGGGAUGACGUCAAGUCAUCAUGGCCCUUACGACCAGGGCUACACACGUGCUACAAUGGCAUAUACAAAGAGAAGCGACCUCGCGAGAGCAAGCGGACCUCAUAAAGUAUGUCGUAGUCCGGAUUGGAGUCUGCAACUCGACUCCAUGAAGUCGGAAUCGCUAGUAAUCGUAGAUCAGAAUGCUACGGUGAAUACGUUCCCGGGCCUUGUACACACCGCCCGUCACACCAUGGGAGUGGGUUGCAAAAGAAGUAGGUAGCUUAACCUUCGGGAGGGCGCUUACCACUUUGUGAUUCAUGACUGGGG